rnacentral:lncRNA from 1 species
UGAAGGCCUUUGUGGGCUACAAUGGGAACUGGCAGGCCAACGUGGUCUGGAGGCCCGACACAGGGGGGAUGUGACUGCGUGACAGAGAGCAGUCGGCCAGCACCAUCACUUCUGCUAGGCCAACACAGAUGAUGUUGCUUCCACAGUGAAGAAAAAUGUCAUCGCCUGAGUCACACAGCCUCACCUUUGAUGUACUCCAGCCAAGACAGCCUCCACUUAGAGCACCUACAAGGGGGAGUGGGGCGCUGAGUAGCAGCUGGCUCGGCAGACUAUUUAUUAGUCAAGUGUCACGGCUUAAGGAAUUCCCAAACUGCAAGUAUUUGGCAAAAGGAUUCUGGCCCAAGAAAAACAAACAAAGCCUGCUGGAGGACUUUCAUUCUAAGGCCUCGAUUUGUUAAAAAUAUUUGAGGAUGGUGAUUAGCACAUCAUAAAAAUAAAGAGGCGCGCAGAAAGAA